AACACACCCUCCUCUUCUUUGAAACAAUGCCUUAAAAGCGAAAACCCUAACACAGAGCUCAUCACCCUAACGGCGGCGGCGCUCUUCACCUAACAUAGAGCUCAUCGCCGGUGCUCUCGCUCUCUUCCCCCAAUAACAUUCAUUGGUCAACCUCGUUCCAACCCUCUCUAGCAACCCCUCCGUAGGUGCCACCUCUGCCGGUGUUCCCUGCGUCGGCGCUCCUUCCGUCUCUCCUGUAAACACCUAUCCCUCCUUCGGCGGUGACUCACUCUGGUAAGGCCUCCCUCGGCGCUCACUCUCUAUCGCAAACCCUCCGUCGACGCUCACUCUCUCUCGCAAACCCUCAAUCGUCACUCCUCCCUCCAUGGUUCAGCACCCGCCGUGUUGCCGUCUCCCUCUCUGAAGUCGUCGCGUCGCCGUCUCCAUCUCCUUCACUCGUCGCACCUCCAUCAGCCACGUUCAGCGUUCGCAGCACCGUGCUGUGGUAGUGCUCAGCUGCUGCUAUGUGAUGCUGAACUGCUACUGCUUUGCCUGUUCUGUUAUUCUAGUUUUUCUACAUCAACUAGCAAGCAGGGGACUCCUACUGGGAGAAAAAGUCUAAGGCUGCUGGUCUUAGGGCAACUGCAAACCAUUUGCGUGAUUUGAAUCCUGAGGAUGCGCACGAAAUUCUUAGGCAAGCUGCUGAAAUUUUUGAAGGAAUAGGAAUAAUUAAUAUUGCAGCUCAAUGUUUUUCAGAUUUGGGAGAUCAUGAAAAAGCUGUCUGACGAAGAAAUCAAUGUAAAUAGAAAACUAGCUAAGGAACUGGUUGACAAAUGGAGCCGACCCAUAUUUAAUAAGAGUACACAGUUUGAGGACAUGAGAAAUGCUGAGGACGACAGGAUUCCUUUCAGGAGGCCAACUGUUAAAAAGUGCUCAACCAUUCUGAUUUAAAUUGCUUGUCUUAAGCAAUAUUUGUCUUAUGUAUGGCAAUAUGCUGAAUUUCUACAGGCCAGCAAAUAAAGCAGCAGGGAUAGAAUCUAGAGAUGGUGAUCUUGAUUUGGAAUUUCCACAGCCUAGGUCUGGACAGUCUUCUUCAAGGCAACAUGCAUCAAGGCCAGAAGCAACACCUUUGGAUUUUGUGAUCCGUCCCCAGUCUAAAAUUGAUCCAGAAGAAGUUAGAGUGUGAGCAAAAGCUGCUGCACAAGAUCAGCAGAGAAUGAAAGUUUGUGCUUUACCUCGGGCCUUUCCCAGUUGAGCAAGCGAAAAUUCUAUCACUCUCGCAUAUACCAGCCAAUGGAACUUGAAGAAGUUCUAUCAGAAGGAGAUAUUGAUGAUGAAGUUGAUGAUGAAGUUGCUGAUUUUGAAGAGCUAAGGAGGCUCGGUAAUUUUGACAAUGUGACCAAUGCUGAGAAGAAAUUCAUGCAUAUGUGGAACUCAUUUAUUCGAAAGCAAUGGGCUAUUUUAGCUUGGCUUUCUAUUAUUGCGCACCGCAACAAAGACAAGAAGGCAGGGGGGAAACUGAUCACUGUGGCUGAUGUUGUGAAGGAACACUGGACAACUUAUAGAAGAAAUUUUUUUUAGAUAUGACUAUGAGGAAUGUGAAUCUGAAGGUGCUAAUAAAAUGGUAGCAUACCUACGAGAGACUUCAUCAAAGAGCAAGACUGGUGAUAAGUUCUAAUGAUAAUUUUGAUAGUUCUAAUGAUCUCCUAAGUUCUAAUGAUGAACUUAUUUUGUCCUAAUUUAAUUAUUAGUUUUGUUAAAGUAUUGUAAUUUUUUAAUUACAAUUUUAGCAUGUAAAUAAUUCUUCAAUAAAAAAUCAAUUUUUUAUACUUUCUAA